GAUGAACGCUGGCGGCGUGCCUAAUACAUGCAAGUCGAGCGAACAGACGAGGAGCUUGCUCCUCUGACGUUAGCGGCGGACGGGUGAGUAACACGUGGAUAACCUACCUAUAAGACUGGGAUAACUUCGGGAAACCGGAGCUAAUACCGGAUAAUAUAUUGAACCGCAUGGUUCAAUAGUGAAAGACGGUUUUGCUGUCACUUAUAGAUGGAUCCGCGCCGCAUUAGCUAGUUGGUAAGGUAACGGCUUACCAAGGCAACGAUGCGUAGCCGACCUGAGAGGGUGAUCGGCCACACUGGAACUGAGACACGGUCCAGACUCCUACGGGAGGCAGCAGUAGGGAAUCUUGCGCAAAGGGCGAAAGCCUGACCGAGCAACGCCGCGUGAGUGAUGAAGGUCUUCGGAUUGUAAAACUCUGUUAUUAGGGAAGAACAAAUGUGUAAGUAACUAUGCACGUCUUGACGGUACCUAAUCAGAAAGCCACGGCUAACUACGUG
rnacentral:rRNA from 1 species